UACGGGGGGGCAAGCGUUGUUCGGAAUUACUGGGCGUAAAGGCUCGUAGGCGGCCAACUAAGUCAGACGUGAAAUCCCUCGGCUUAACCGGGGAACUGCGUCUGAUACUGGAUGGCUUGAGUUCGGGAGAGGGAUGCGGAAUUCCAGGUGUAGCGGUGAAAUGCGUAGAUAUCUGGAGGAACACCGGUGGCGAAGGCGGCAUCCUGGACCGACACUGACGCUGAGGAGCGAAAGCCAGGGGAGCAAACGG
rnacentral:rRNA from 1 species